GGUCGGCUGUUAACCGAUUUUAGUCGUAGGUUCAAAUCCUACUUGGGGAGAUCCUUUUUCUCUAAAGGCUUUAU
rnacentral:tRNA from 1 species